CUAAUAUAAUAUUAUUAAUCAUUUUCAUACAAUAAACGUGUAUUUUCUAUACAAAAAUUCCGGUUUCAUAUUUACAUACCUGGUACACUGCAUUCUCCACACCAUAAGGCUACUUCCAUUAUAAUCGCAUGCCAUUCGGACUGAAAAACGCACCCGCAACUUUUCAACGAAUGAUGGACACAGCAUUAAGAGCGUUAGUCAAUGUUAAUCGUUUCGUACAUCUAGACGAUAUUAUAAUUUUCGAAGAUACAAUUCAAAAACAUAGUCAAAAUUUAGCAAUAGUUUUGCAAAGACUUAGAGAACUAGGACUCAAGAUACAGUCUGGUAAAUGCGAAUUCCUCAAAGCUUGAAUAUUUAGGACAUUUAGUAACAGUCGAAGGAGUUAAACGAAACCCGAAGAAAAUCAAGCCCGUGAAAGAUUUUAGGACGCCGAGGAACCCAACCAAGGUCGAAUCAUUUUUAGGACUGACCGGCUAUUAUAGAAAAUUUAUACGUAACUUUUCCAAGAUAGCCAAACCAUUGACCGACUCAAUUAAGAAAGAUAUUAGCUUUUACUGAACGAACAAACAACAAGACAGUUUUGAAUCGUUGAAACAAAAAUUAUAUGAGGCACCGAUUUUAACUUACCCAGAUUUUACAAAGACCUUCACGCUAACGACCGACGCGAGUAACGAAGGACGAGAAGCUGUUCUCUCACAAGAUGGACGCCCAUAUUGUUUUAUUUCAAAAACACUCAACCCACCUGAGAAAAAAUUACACGGCAAAUGAAAAAGAACUUUCAGCAAUCAUAUGGGCGAUGAAAAGGCUAAGACAAUAUCUGUUAGGACGUAAAUUCAUAAUUAGGAAAAACCAUCAGGCUUUGAAAUGGCUAAACGAUUGUAAAGAUCCUUAAUCACGUUUAAUGAGAUGGAGAUUAAAAUUAGAAAAAUACGAAUACGAGAUUGAAUACGUAAAGGUAAAGAUAACACGGUAGCCGAUAGUUUAUCCAGAGCUCACGCAAUCACAAAAACAGACAUCCAUGUUAUAGAUCGUACAGAGCAUUUCAAUGAAUGCAAGCAAGCGGCAAGAAUUCAUGGAAGACUUGAUUUGAAAUCAAACGACAAUUCCUUUUAUCAAUUGACCAAAGACGAGCUAGGUGAAUAUAAUGAAACAAUUUGGCUUAGGAAAAUCCAUUCGAUUAUUCAAAAUUAUACCAAACUUAGAAUAGGUGACAACACGUUUUCAGAAUUAGAAAAAAUUCAGUUGAAACUCAUAAAUCUUUAUUUCAAUGAUACAUAAAAAAUUAAUUUUUGCGUGGGAACCAAUAAAAGAGUUAACAGAAGCAGAAGUAGAUACAAUUCUAUGUGAAAAUCAUAAUGAAAUUAUGAUUAUAGGACACUUAGGAGUGCAAAAAACAUCAAAGAAUUAAAGAAAAAUAUAAAAUAGCAGAUUUAGUGGAAAAGACACACCUUUGCAACCAAACGAUAAAAUAGCAAUGGAUAUCAUUGGACCAACGAUGAAAACAAAACGAGGAAAUCAAUUCAUACUUUUGAUUCACGACGAACUGACAAAAUAUUUAAUAUUAGUACUUUUGAACACCCAACAGACAGAGUCAAUUAUUAACGCUAUUUUGGUACACUACAGUUAUAUUUUCUCAGCACAAAGAACAAUUUUGACGGAUCAAGGACAAAACUUUGUGAGCGAACUAAUGAUUAAGUUUGAUGAAGCUUUCAAAAUCAAACAGAAUAAAACCACAUCUUUCCACCCUCAAGCCUACGGAUCCCUAGAAAGAACGCAUGCUGUAGUGAAAGAUUUGAUACGAACUAGUUUACGCGAUAACAAUAGAGAAUGGGAUGAUGUUUUGAAUUUUAAUUGUUUAAGAUAUAAUACUUCGAUUCACGAAGCUAUUCUUCUCGCCAUUUGAAUUAUCUUUCGGAAGGAAAGCUAACUUGCCCUUCGUGAUAGCCAAAACUAUGGGUUUAAGGGCAUAUUCUAGUCUACAAAUUCGAAAAAAUCGAAAAAAAUUUUUUUUAUAUUUCCAAAGUAUCGACAUUCAAGAAUAUGCCCUUAAAAGGAUUUUUCAAAAUUUCAAAUAUUUUAUGAGUUACAGCUAUUUUUACAUUUGCUCCAGUCCGACCGGAACAAAUGAACAGUAGACGGUAGACGUUGCCCGAGUACCUACGUAUGAAUAUACCUCAUGAAAUAUUUAUUGUAUUUUAUCCCCUUUUAAUGUAUUUUUGAUUCAAUGAUUCAAUUUGAACUAUAUUUGGGUUCUGAAACCCAAAAUAAUAACGAAUCGUUAAAUUCGUUAAUAUGGACUUUUGCUCCGAAGCGCAUCCACGCAGGAACGCAGACAAUUCAAAUUUUCACUUUCCUUGCAGUAUGUAUUUUUAAUGAAGCUUUUAUACCCAUAUUAAAAAUCUUAAGUGUCAUGGGAAUCACGAUUGGCCCAGAAACUCGUGAAGUCGCAAUCAGGCGAGACGAGGUUCGUAUCGAGCGCUCUGAACUCCGAGCUUCAGAGGCAUCAAAGGAAGCCAGGACUGCUCGUCUCCAUGAAAGAACUUCGGACAAUGAGCAUUUUCAAGUAGAGGAAGGUUUCUUGUAGGGAGUAGGAAUCGCCGAUUAAAAAUAUGUAAGUAUGCUGUACCAUUCUAUGAGUAAUAUUGCCGGAAACUUGUCUCAAAACUUUAAACGUGUAGAGAGAGAGAUUAUGUUCUUAUUCAUAAUGAUCAUGAGAAAAAUAGGUUGGACAUUGAAUGGUUAGGGCCAUGCAGAAUUCACCAAAUUAAAACUCCGUAUUACGGGAUUUUGAUUGAUAGUGUUAUUAAGAAAAUCCAUGGUAAUCGUUUGAAAACUUAUUUCUCAGAACGAGAUCCACCCUAAAGUAAUUCUCAGUAUUAGCACCAUUGAUCCAACCAAAAAUCCUGAAUUGCCUUUUGAAAAACAUGAAACUAUACAAAACAAAGUUCCAAUGCAGCUGGUGACGCUAUUGGAUGUUAUAAAGCAAUUGAAAAAAAAGAAAAAAAAAAAAGAAUCUGGC